CUAUUUGUUUUGUGAAAACCUCAAUACCCCACCCACAACCAUGUUUUUGGAAAAAGCACAAAAGUGAAUGGCGCCGUAAAAACAAGAAGUGGUUCCCUGUUUACACAAUCGCGCGUACUCGAUCUCUAGCCCUAAGUUACGUCGCCGGCCACGAUUCGAAGCCAGCAAUCCGUUACCCAAUUUGCCGGAAUCUCCGACCGUCACAAGCCCCUGAUAUGGCGUUUAGAGGGCGUGGAGGUGGUUUCGGAGGCUAUCAAUGUCAUGGUAAAGAAGAACCCUUUGUGCUGUUCCCUGAUAUUAACCUACCUGAUGCCACAGAUGUUUUGUCCAUCUCCGAUCAGAAGAAAAACAAGGAAGAGAUGUUGUUGAUCAAAGAAAGUUUGGAGUGGCUGAACAAAACAGGGUAUUAUCUUGAACAGACUGACAAAGACAAGCAGCGAAAGGGUAACAGAGAAAUCCAUUCUUUCUCGCAGUACCUAGUGCCGAGUAUGUUUCCUGGAGAACUGACUAGAGGUUCGAAUGUGAGGGGGUUAAGCAGGGACAGCGUUGAGUGGGACAGAAAGAAGAAGGAAGAGAUCGACUGGAAUCGGAUUGAGAAGAUGGAACAGGAUAGUGAUGCCAAGCAAAAGAAAAAACUCGAAAAGGAUGAGGAAGAUGUGGAUAAGGAAGAUGAUGAUGAUGAUGAUGAUGAUGAGGACGAUGAGGAUUAUGAAGACCCUGACUUGAAUGAUUAUAUUGUUGAUGUGAAGCCAGACGAUGACGAAGAUGUUUAUAAUGAUGAGGAGGAGGGUGGUGAUGAACCUGAGUUGUAGUGAGAUCGAUGGUGAUUGUUACCUCGGUCUCAUGCAAUCUAGCUUUCUGUGAAAAGGUGGGUGUACAACUGAAUCACAUGCAGUGGAUACCUGCACGUGAGGCAACGAGCUGCUGAGUACCUCCAGCAGCAACAGGAGGGCUAGGACUACUAGGGUGGUUGACAUAUAAUGUCACUGCUUAUGGAGCAGUGGCUGCAUAGUGAGAAAGAUACAACCUUGGUUAAUAAACCUGAGCAUCUACUUACCCUAGUAAAAUCAAUGAACAUUUGGCAAAGACUCUGGAAAAUUUGUUGUAUGUGUCCGUUAUAUACAACCUUCCUUUCACAACGUGUGACUGAUCCAUUGUUAUAUAACUCACGCAUCCAAAAAUUACUUCAAAUACUGAUUGCAUAAUUAGAACAAUUGUGGACUUCAAGUUAUGCAUAGGGACAGUGCUAGAAACUGCUUGAUUGGUAAUCGAUCAAUGAAAUCUCUGAAUGGCUGAAUCUAUGUCGAGCAAUGCUUCUAAUUUGGAAUUUUGUGUCUGAUGGUAUUUUCAUGGUCAAUGCCUCAAACACGAUAUCAAUGUUUCAAGGAAUUUUGUGUUGGU